rnacentral:rRNA from 1 species
UACGUAGGGGGCAAGCGUUAUCCGGAUUUACUGGGUGUAAAGGGAGCGUAGGCGGCAGUGCAAGUCAGAAGUGAAAGCCCGGGGCUCAACUCCGGGACUGCUUUUGAAACUGUACAGCUUGAUUGCAGGAGAGGCAAGUGGAAUUCCUAGUGUAGCGGUGAAAUGCGUAGAUAUUAGGAGGAACACCAGUGGCGAAGGCAGCUCACUGGACUGCAACUGACACUGAGGCUCGAAAGUGUGGGUAUCAAACAGG